GACGAACGCUGGCGGCGUGCUUAACACAUGCAAGUCGAACGGAAAGGCCCUGCUUUUGUGGGGUGCUCGAGUGCCGAACGGGUGAGUAACACGUGAGUAACCUGCCCUUGUCUGUGGGAUAACUCUAGGAAACUGGGGCUAAUACCGGAUAGAAUCUCCUGCUGCACGGUGUGGGUUGGAAAGUUUCGGCGGUUGGGGAUGGACUCGCGGCUUACGAGCUUGUUGGUGGGGUAGGUGCUUACAAAGGUUUUGACGGGUAGCCUGCAUGGGAGCGUGAACGGCCACAUUGGGACUGAGAUACGCACCAGACUGCUACGGGAGGCAGCGGUGGGGAAUCUUGCGCAAUGGGGGGAAGCCUGAUACAGCAACGCCGCGUGCGGGAUGCCGGCCUUCGGGUUGUAAACCGCUUUCGCAUGUGACGUAGAGUGAGUGACGGUAAUGGGUAAAGAAGCCCCGGCUAACUACGUG
rnacentral:rRNA from 1 species